UGCUCGGUGAUUUUACAAACAUCGGUCCCUGCAAUUAAGGUAUAAGAGGCCCUGCCUGCCAGGUGACAUUAGCGUAAUCACUUGUCUUUUAAAUAAAGACCAGUAUGAAUGGCAAGGUACGAAAGUUCAACUGUCUCCCUAAAUUAAUCAGUGAAAUUGAUUUCUCCGUGCAGAAGGCGAGAUAAAAUUAUAAGACGAGAAGACCCUAUGGAGGCUUUAAACAUAUAAUCAAUUCCGUAGUUCCAUAAAAUCCGAAAGAUAAAAUAUAAAAUAAACAAUAUGAUUAAAAUUUUAGGUUGUAUGGGCGACCACGGAGAAAAGUCAAAACCUCCGAGAUGAAAAGAAUAUCUUAAUUUAAGAACCUCCGCAAUUCCAAAAAAUAAAAUAUUUAACAGAUUAAUUGAUCCAAUAUUUUGAUCAACGAACAAGUGGUUACCCUAGGGAUAACAGCGCAAUCCUCUCCAAGAGUCCCUAUCGACGAGUGGGUUUACUAAUACCUCGGAUGUUGGAUCAGGACACCCGAUGGUGCAGGACCGCUAUUAAAGGUUCGUUUGUUCAACGAUGUUAAAGUCCUACGUGACGU
rnacentral:rRNA from 1 species